AGGGCGCAGAACGACGAAUGAACGAAAGCGCCACGGCCGAAACUUCGCGAGCCCCACCGCCCUUUCCGCGCUUGCGAAGUUGCGCGCGAAUCAGGCCGAUCGCUACCGACCAUCACCGAACGUGCACGAAGAUAGAUGGACAGACAGGGUUCACGGUGUCGCCGCAACAUAAUUAAUCGGUGGAAAUAUAAUUCUCGAUCCUGGUUUUACGCGACUAUUUUUAUUUUAUUAAUUGUAAUUGAUCCGGACAUAUAAGAUCCGGCUUAUAAAAGAAUUCCGUAGUGCGAUCUUAAUUCUUUGAUUACUUUUAUCACAACUUUGUAAUGGCUUUGAAAAAGAUAAAUAAUGGGAUUACGUAAAAGGUAAUGCCGAAAGAAGGAAGCGCGAGGAGGACAGUCUCGAUUAAAUCGUCUUCUGGUCUUGAAACGAGCCAGUUCCAACGGCGAUAAAUUCCCUCCUUUGGAAAUUAGUCGGUAACCAGAGCUCACCGGGAUCGAGUCGAAUUAACUCGUCAAUUUUUUCCCUUCGAUAAUUCGAGUUAAAAAGUCUCGAAACGGAAUAAUAUUAAAACCGUAAGGCUACGUGUACGAACCAUGUAUAAGGAAUAUAGAGAGUUAAAUUCGCAAUUGGUAAACCGUUGAAACUCCUUCGAGCUAGUUUGGAAAGGUGGCGCAACGGUAUCGGGCGUAUUAACCUCUUUGUGGACUCGUAUGUCGAGUGUGGCUCGACAUCACAUUUCUUACGCCACUCCAACGUCGUGCUAGACAUUAUAAAACGCAGUUUCUAAAAUAAUUUAAAGUGUUUUUUUCUCUCUCUCUCUUUCAAAUACUUUUUAAUAAAAGUUAAAUAAAGACUAAUUUGUAAAUAUUUCGGCAAUUUGUACACAGUUUUAAAUUGUUGCUGUUGUUGUUAUGAUAGAAUUGAAAUAGUUAUUUCGUAGUAGAGCUGUUUUUGAUGAAUGCAAGUGCGCUACGUGUUUUUCGCGAUGUUUCAUAUUUUGUUUACAUAAAAAAACGUAAUAAUAAUCAAACCGUUGUUUUAUUUGUUUUACGUGGUAAGUAAUAUAAAAGUAAGGAUGCCCCGAAAUAAAAAGAAAAUGAUAACCAAUGAAAAUAGUGAAUGUGACUCAAAUAGACGAUGAACGUAGUUCGUUGGAAGACGAUACAGAUUUUAUUGAAGCAUCUGAACCAUUGUGGAUCCCUUUUUCAAACUGAUUUCGAUUCUGAAUGAUGAAGAAAUUAUUGUAAGAAGGAAAAGGAGGAAAAUUGGAAGACUUAUAACCCGUGAUGAGGAUACGAAUAGCAAUCAUUUACAUCUAUAUUAGCCCGUUUGUUGGAAAUAAUGAAACGUUAUCGACAAACGUUAUCGAGGACGACAAUUAUUGCCAUGUCGUAAACUUCUCAGUUGUAAUACCAAAAGUUCCAUCCAAUCGGUUGAAAAUAUAUAUAAUCUAUCUAUUUACCAACAUACUACUUAAUUAACGUAAAUGAAAAAACUAUUUACAUACUCUGCAUUGUAUUUUUUAUUCACACAAUAUUUUAUUCAGAUCCUCUUUUUGUAAAUGAAUUAAAGAGUCGUUGCUAGGUAAAACAAAAGAAAAAAAAAUUAAAGAGUGCAAAGGGUUGAGUGCAAAGAGUAAUUUGAAUAAAAAAUACUUCGAUCAUGAGAUAUUUUAUUUAAAAUAAACCGCAUAGAUUUUUUCUUUUCUACGUUUUAACGAUCCAAUCUCGGUGUUGUUUCGAUCAAAUAAUUUUGCGAGCGAGAAAUUUGAAUUUAUUAGUCGAAA